rnacentral:rRNA from 1 species
AGCAGCCGCGGUAAUUCCAGCUCCAAUAGCGUAUAUUAAAGUUGUUGCAGUUAAAAAGCUCGUAGUUGAAUUUCGGGAUUGGCGCAUCGGUCGUGCCUUACGGGGUAUGAACUGGUGCAGUCAAUUUCUCACCUUCUGGAGAACCGCGAUGUCCUUAAUUGGGUGCCGCGGGGAACCAGGACCUUUACUUUGAAAAAAUUAGAGUGUUUAAAGCAGGCAUUUUUGCUUGAAUACAUUAGCAUGGAAUAAUAAAAUAGGACGGCAUGGUUCUAUUUUGUUGGUUUCUAGGGCCACCGUAAUGAUUAAUAGGGAUAGUUGGGGGCAUUAGUAUUCAAUUGUCAGAGGUGAAAUUCUUGGAUUUAUUGAAGACUAACUACUGCGAAAGCAUUUGCCAAGGAUGUUUUCAUUAAUCAAGAACGAAAGUUAGGGGAUCGAAGACGAUCAGAUACCGUCGUAGUCUUAACCAUAAACUAUGCCGACUAGGAAUCAGACGAUGUUAAUUUUUUAAUGACUCGUUUGG